UACGAAGGGGGCUAGCGUUGCUCGGAAUGACUGGGCGUAAAGGGCGCGUAGGCGGUUUGUACAGUCAGGUGUGAAAUUCCCGGGCUCAACCUGGGGGCUGCACUUGAUACGUAUGGACUGGAGUGGGGAAGAGGGUCGUGGAAUUCCCAGUGUAGAGGUGAAAUUCGUAGAUAUUGGGAAGAACACCGGUGGCGAAGGCGGCUCACUGGUCCGAUACUGACGCUGAGGUGCGAAAGCGUGGGGAGCAAACAGG
rnacentral:rRNA from 1 species